rnacentral:rRNA from 1 species
UACGUAGGUGGCAAGCGUUGUCCGGAUUUACUGGGCGUAAAGGGCGCGUAGGUGGAUUUUUAAGUGAGGUGUGAAAUACUCGGGCUCAACCCGAGAACUGCAUUUCAAACUGGAAAUCUAGAGUGCAGGAGAGGAAAGUGGAAUUCCUAGUGUAGCGGUGAAAUGCGUAGAUAUUAGGAAGAACACCAGUGGCGAAGGCGACUUUCUGGACUGUAACUGACACUGAGGCUCGAAAGCGUGGGGAGCAAACAGG